rnacentral:sRNA from 1 species
AUGGUGGUGGCGAAGAGAUCAUACGAGGAUAGCCGUCGCAAGAGAGUGGAAGAGAAUAAGAAGAGAAUGGAAGCUCUCAAUCUCCCUCUGCUUUCUCAGGCUCUCAAGACUUCCUCUUCUCCCAAACCCUCCCCUGUAUCUCUCUCUCUCUCUUCUGUAAGUUUUACGUGUUUCUCUUCCAUACUCAUUUGGUCUUUUUGAUGCCCACAUUCACAUAGAAGAAGCAGGCCAAACCCCGUGUGGCACAGAAACUAGUGGUCGAGGUCAGGAGGUCCACUCGCUUUGUCAACAAGCCUGCACCUAUUUACAAAGAAGUGAGUCAGUGAAUCACUUUGUUCAUUUCCUCAAACACUAGUCCCUAACGAACCAGUUUGAUCGCUUUUAGCCCCAACUUUAAUUUUGUAAGAACUAAAAAUAGAUCACUUUUAGUUUUUUUUUUACCAGAAGCGAUCACUUUAAACUAAAAACGCUCGUAUUCUAAAAUUUUGGACCAACAAUAUAUCAAGAUUUUAUGUUACAACAUUAUGUUAUUGCUGAUAGGUUGCUGUGGACCGCGUGGCAAUACCCAGAAGGUAUAUUUGAUUUAAAUGUUAACGUGUUAGCAAAUAGUUGCCUCGUCUGUAGCCGUAGCAGAAGCUGAAGAGAAAGCGGGAAAAUUAGUAUGGGGUCUACCACCUGGUUGUCCAAUAUUUACAAAGUCAAUGCAGCCAUCUCAUGUCGCUGGUGGAUUUUGGCUGGUAAGAGAAUUGGUUUUUCUGCUUAACUUAUUUAACAACUUCUCAAAGUACGUUACUAUGUUAUCUAACUAAGAUAUUGGAACUCAGGCUUUUCUUUUUCUCUGGUAUGUAUUGAUUUGUUAUUAGUAUAUAAAUAACUUUAGUAGAAGUAGUAAAAAUAAUAGGGUCAUAAUGAUUUUAUACGGUAUAUAUAAUGAUAAAUAUGUCAUCCUUGAUCCAUAAUGAUUCUGGUAAAAUUUGAUAACGGGGUCUUCCAUCUAAUUUCUCCGAGCGGAACCUUCCAAGUCAUGAUGCUGUUAAGACUUUGAUAGAUGAGGAUGGUGAUGGGUAUCCAACAAAAUAUCUAGCCAAAAAAAGUGGACUGAGUGGUGGAUGGAAAGGGUUCGCCGUUGCUCAUCAUUUGGCAUAUGGGGAUGCAUUAGUAUUUCAAUUAAUGGGACGAACAACAUUUAAGGUGAUCGAUCAUUUAUCAAUGGCAUUUAACUAAGCACCUUGUUCUUCUUGUUAUUCCUCUCAAUCAUCAAAUUAUUUUGUUGUUGUUGUUGUGAAGUUUCAUGUUUGAAUUAGGCUGUGCUAACAUUUGUUUAUGGUCUUCCAAAUUUUCUUGAUGGGCAUGGUGCAUGCGCAUAUAUAUAUAUAUAUAUAUAUGUGUGUGUGUAUGCGCGCGCGCAUAUUAUCUUAGAUUGUUAUGUAUAAUACUAUCACUUUCCUUUUUCUUUUAUACAAACUAAUGUGUAUCUCUAACAUUUGUAAGUUAUCCCUUGUCAAUAAGCUCGUAGGGCUUUUCCUUUCUGCUACUCCUUGUCAUCGAGGGGAAUUUUUACAUUUUAUGUCUUCUAAUGUGUUUAUGUACCAAAUGUACUAUUUUCUUUUAGGUGUACAUCGUCAGGGUGAAUGGUUCUGAAGAGGGUAAUAAGCUUUGA